AUCGAACACUGGCGGCAGGCCUAACACAUGCAAGUCGAGCGCAGCGGCGGACGGGUGAGUAAUGACUAGGAAUUUGCAUGGUAGUGGCGGAUAACUUACGGUAACGGGCGCUAAUACCGCAUACUAUCAGAUGAGCUUCGGUUGGAUUAGCUGGUUGGUGGGGUAAUGGCCUACCUAGGCGAUGAUCCGUAGCUGGUCUGAGAGGAUGAUCAGUCACACUGGAACAGAGAAACGGUCCAGACUCCUACGGGAGGCAGCAGUGGGGAAUAUUGGACAAUGGGCGAAAGCCUGAUCCAGCCAUGCCGCGUGUGUGAAGAAGGUUUUCGGAUUGUAAAGCACUUUAAGUGGAGAGGCGUUACCAACAGAAUAAGCACCGGCUAACUACGUGCCAGCAGCCGCGGUAAUAC
rnacentral:rRNA from 1 species